GCUGGAGUUACUAGUAAUCGCAGAUCAGAAUGCUGCGGUGAAUGCGUUCCCGGGUCUUGUACACACCGCCCGUCACACCACGGAAGUUGGGGGCGCCCGAAGCCACUUAGCUAACCCUUUGGGAAGCGAGUGUCGAAGGUGAAAUCAAUAACUGGGGUGAAGUCGUAACAAGGUAUC
rnacentral:rRNA from 1 species